UCCACACGACUCUCGGCAACGGAUAUCUCGGCUCUCGCAUCGAUGAAGAACGUAGCAAAAUGCGAUACCUGGUGUGAAUUGCAGAAUCCCGCGAACCAUCGAGUUUUUGAACGCAAGUUGCGCUCGAGGCCUUUUGGCUGAGGGCACGCCUGCCUGGGCGUCACG
rnacentral:rRNA from 1 species